GGAGUACGAUGUGAACGUGACAGCAUUGUGGGUUGAUUACAAAGGAGCCUGGGAGAAGCCAGAUGAAGGACAAGGGACGAAGUGGAAUGCAUACCGGGAGUAAUGAUCAUGCUGCCCUUCUCUAUCUUGGCUGUAUGUGGAAUUGAUUGAAAUGAAAUUAGAGAUGUAAGACGUUUAUAACGUAACAAUGCUUCACCACAGAAACAUCUGACCAGCAAAAUAAUUUAUAGCAGAAUACAUGUACUUCAAUAAAGCAUUUAUGUUAGUUUGCACAAAAUAUAUUCUACUGCCUCAAGUAAAGCAGUACAUUUUGUGACUAUUAAUCAAAUAGACUUGUUCACAUUGUUACCGUACAUGAUAAUUUAUAGAAUACUAAGUUUUAAAGCUCUUCUGCUAUCCAACAUGGCACCAAAAUUGAAAAUUCGAUAGUGUAAAUAACUAAAACAAGUGUUACGCUCACAUUGCAAAAUACGCCCGUCCAAAACAUGUAUUUUUAGAAAUUUUUGUACGUUUAAAUAUUUGCACAGUUUAUGCUUGUAUUGAUGCAUUGCUUAAUCUCUGCUGCAGAAGAAAUAAAGAAUGUCUGUCUGA